rnacentral:tRNA from 1 species
AAGAUAUUAGUAAAAUAUUACAAAGCCUUGUCAUGACUUAAUUGCCGUUUAAAUCCGGCAUAUCUUGU